rnacentral:rRNA from 1 species
UACAGAGGUGCGAGCGUUAAUCGGAAUUACUGGGCGUAAAGCGUGCGUAGACGGUUAUUUAAGUCGGGUGUGAAAAGCCCCGGGCUCAACCUGGGAAUUGCAUUCGAGACUGAAUAGCUUAGGGUACGGUAGGAGGGAAGCGGAAUUUCCGGUGUAGCGGUGAAAUGCGUAGAUAUCGGAAGGAACAUCAGUGGCGAAAGCGGCUUCCUGGAC